CCUUUUUUUUUUUGCCUAAAGUAGGUUUUCUAAAUGCCACACGUUCCAGCUGUCACCCCAAGCCCCUAAUUUUGCCCCUCUAGUUGACAAAGGGUGUGGGGCACAAUUCUCAACAUAUGGGCAAUAGCAAAGCACAUGCUUGGCAUGUAGAAGGCCCAGGUUCUAGCCCUGGCAUCUCCCAGCCCCCUGUUCCCCUCAAAGAGCUACAGUUUCCAGUGAUUUAACAAACCCAGAGAACUCAGAGAAUUGUAAUUCUGGGAGCGAAAUAGGGGACCUCGACAACUCUCAGAAUCCUUUAAAAACUGCAACUCCGAGGAUCACCAUCCUUAGCUCUUGAUAAGCCUGUAGUCGUGACAAGAGCCAAAAAGUCUCAAGCUGCUCCAGGGUUCAGGUUGCUAUCGGGAUUUAAAUCUUCCCUGAAGCCUGUGCAGGACCUGAGACUUUGCAAGAGAAACACGUCACAAAGAACUUGAGCCUAUUGCUGCAACCAGCCUCCCACAGUUCCCCACACCCAAAAUCAAGGGACAAAAUUGUUCAGGUACAAAAGUGACAGCCAUUUUAUUGAAGUAGCAGGUGGGCCCUAAAAGGAUGGCAAGUAAAAGAACUGGAAACUGCAGUUGUUUGAGGGCAGGGGGAGUGUUCUUGGUUCUGAUCUUUCAAUAUUUAAGUGAAUACUACUCUGAACAGUAAAGCAGGCAGCACUGCCCCAUCCAGAAGGUGAUGACUUCAGAUGCCAAUUGCUGAUGCAGGAAUUCUGCAGCAUCUCUGCAGCGGGAGUGAUUGAAAGAGCCGUUAUACCUGAGGCCAAAAUUGUCCACCCCAAGUGGAGGCUACGUGGAGAAAAGGCACAGCAGAAACAAGGACUUGUGCACAGCUGGAACUCCUGGGCUUAGAGAAGCCUUUGAGCGGAUUUCU